rnacentral:rRNA from 1 species
UACAGAGGUCUCAAGCGUUGUUCGGAUUCAUUGGGCGUAAAGGGUGUGUAGGUGGCGCCGUAAGUCGGGUGUGAAAUUUCGGAGCUUAACUCCGAAACUGCAUUCGAUACUGCGGUGCUUGAGGACUGGAGAGGAGACUGGAAUUCCUGGUGUAGCGGUGAAAUGCGUAGAUAUCAGGAGGAACACCGGUGGUGUAAACGGCUUUCUGGACCAUUUCUGACGCUGAGGCACGAAAGCGUGGGUAGCAAACAGG